rnacentral:rRNA from 1 species
AGUGAACGCUGGCGGUAGGCCUAACACAUGCAAGUCGAACGGCAGCACAGUACGGGCUUGCUCUUACCGGUGGCGAGUGGCGGACGGGUGAGGAAUACAGCGGAAUCUACUUUUUCGUGGGGGAUCACGUAGGGAAGCUUACGCUAAUACCGCAUACGCCCUACGGGUGAAAGCAGGGGAUCUUCGGACCUUGCGCGAUUGUAUGAGCCGAUGUGGGUUUAGCUAGUUGGCGGGGUAAAGGCCCACCAGGGCGAGGAUCCGUAGCUGGUGUGAGAGGAUGACAAGCCACACUGAACCUGAGACACGGCCAGGAUUCUUAGGGGAGGCAGCGUUGGGGAAUAUUGGACAAGGGGGGAAAGCUUGUUCAACCAAUCCCGGGUGGUUGAAGAAGGCCUUCGGGUUGUAAAGCCCUUUUGUGGGGAAAAAAAGGGUGCAGGUUAAACCCCCGCUGUUUGAAGGGUACCCAAAGAGUAGGCACGGCCUAAUUUGGU